CAGUAGCCGCGGUAAUACGUAGGGUGCGAGCGUUGUCCGGAAUUAUUGGGCGUAAAGAGCUUGUAGGCGGUCUGUCGCGUCUGCUGUGAAAACCCGAGGCUCAACCUCGGGCCUGCAGUGGGUACGGGCAGACUAGAGUGCGGUAGGGGAGAACGGAACUCCUGGUGUAGCGGUGGAAUGCGCAGAUAUCAGGAAGAACACCGAUGGCGAAGGCAGUUCUCUGGGCCGUAACUGACGCUGAGAAGCGAAAGCGUGGGGAGCGAACAGGAUUAGAUACCCGCGUAGUCCCUGUCUCUUAUAC
rnacentral:rRNA from 1 species